rnacentral:misc_RNA from 1 species
UCUUGUAUUGCAAUGUUCUUGUCUCUGUCAAUCACUAUUAUGUUGUUUUGCUGUUUCUCAAGUCCCAGUGUCCUCUCUCUUUUGGACAUUAAUUCUUUCUCCUGCAGUCUGUAGCUGUAGUGUAUUCCUUCUGUUUGGUACAGCUUGACACAAAAUUCAUUCAUUACAACUCUAACGAGAUGAGGAAAAACACAUUGAGGAUUUUCACCCAAGUAGUUUACAAGCAUCUAUGUUUCACCAUAUAAUCAUACGGUUUUAACUUAGUUUUUACCUAGGAGACUCAAAGUUUAAUUCCCAGCAAUGAAAAUCGGCUUAUUUCCUGAUAUAUUUUUUUCUUAUGAAAUUCAUCAAAGGAAUAUUGCUUAUCAAAAUGUAUUUUUUUUUUAAAAAAAAAAGACAAAGUUUUCAUUUUACUUUUAGAUAUGUCAUUUACUUCUGUUGCAUUAACAAAAUGCCCAUGUAGUUGUGGCGUUAGUUCUUAUUAUUUGUCAUUUGGUAGUGUAUAUUCAAAUUAUGAGCUCAGAACAAAGUGGGAAGAUAUCAUAGGACAUUUAUGUUAAUAUACUAGUAUGACUAGUAAAACAUUAGGUAAUAUGCCUACAGAGUGAUCUAUUUACAAUGUGCAGUUGCAAAUGUCAAUUAAC